rnacentral:snoRNA from 1 species
AUUCCAUGAUGAGGGAACUUUCGUAAUAACUCUUUGUACCUUUCACAUGCCUCAUACAGGGACCCGUCAUCCAUUUGUUGAAAGGCAGUAAUCUCAUUCCUCAACUU